UACGUAGGUGGCGAGCGUUGUCCGGAUUUAUUGGGCGUAAAGCGCGCGCAGGUGGUGCGGUAAGUCUGUCGUGAAAUCUCCUGGCUCAACUGGGAGGGUGCGGUGGAGACUGCCGGACUGGAGGCACUCAGAGGCCGGUGGAAUUCCCGGUGUAGUGGUGAAAUGCGUAGAGAUCGGGAGGAACACCAGUGGCGAAGGCGGCCGGCUGGGGGUGCCCUGACGCUGAGGCGCGAAAGCGUGGGGAGCGAACCGG
rnacentral:rRNA from 1 species